ACAGAACUUAAGCAAACAUGCUAAGAUGUGUUCUGUAACAGCAAGAUGUUCAUUUAAACACAUCUGGCAGUUUUAAUAUGAUUACACAAUGCAAAUUAUUACAAUCAUGUUGCUAUGAUGAAAUUAUUACACAUCUGUUGCUAUGAGGAAAACUAUAAUAUCGAAACAUAUAUGCAGUAGAUGACAACAGCCAGUACCAGCAGGAUGAGGAUGAGGAGGAUGACUAUUGCAGCGAUCAUGCCUGUCUCAUGACUGUUGUCUGAUAGGAGCUCCAGUUGGAACUGCUCACACCUUCUACCUACAUAGCUGUCAUUGCAUCUGCAAGGAAAAGAGAUCUAAUUAGCUCAUGCUAUAUGAGUGACAGCAAUAGAAUUUGUACAUAAAGAGAAAUGUUGCUGAUGAUACAGUUCUACACAGCUGUGAUUGAGUCAGUCCUGUGUACAUCCAUUACAGUCUGGUUUGGUUCAGCCACCAAUCAUUAGGCUGCAACAGACUGUUAAAACAUCUGAGAGGAUUAUUGGUGUGUUCCUUCCCAACCUACAGGACUUGUACAACUGCAGGGUGAAGAAACGGGCAGGUAACAUCAUCAAAGACCCCCCCACCCUGGACACAGUCUGUUUGCUCUUCUGCCAUCAGGCAGACGCUAUAAAUCACUACGCACUAAAGCAUCUAGUCCCAAGAAUAGUUUCUUCUCAUACAGUAUCUAUUUUGAACAACUAGCACACCCAAACUUACAUAUCCUGUCUGUUAAAGUGCAAUAAUCUAUAGUGUAAUAUCAGAUUACUAGAAUCCAUGUAAAUAAAUAUUAUAUUUUUUAAAUGUUCUAUAAAAGUAUUCACAGUUGCAAUAUACAGUAAUUACUAGGUACAUUAGUA